rnacentral:rRNA from 1 species
GAUGUUAGCGGCGGACGGGUGAGUAACACGUGGAUAACCUACCUAUAAGACUGGGAUAACUUCGGGAAACCGGAGCUAAUACCGGAUAAUAUUUUGAACCGCAUGGUUCAAAAGUGAAAGACGGUCUUGCUGUCACUUAUAGAUGGAUCCGCGCUGCAUUAGCUAGUUGGUAAGGUAACGGCUUACCAAGGCAACGAUGCAUAGCCGACCUGAGAGGGUGAUCGGCCACACUGGAACUGAGACACGGUCCAGACUCCUACGGGAGGCAGCAGUAGGGAAUCUUCCGCAAUGGGCGAAAGCCUGACGGAGCAACGCCGCGUGAGUGAUGAAGGUCUUCGGAUCGUAAAACUCUGUUAUUAGGGAAGAACAUAUGUGUAAGUAACUGUGCACAUCUUGACGGUACCUAAUCAGAAAGCCACGGCUAACUACGUGCCAGCAGCCGCGGUAAUACGUAGGUGGCAAGCGUUAUCCGGAAUUAUUGGGCGUAAAGCGCGCGUAGGCGGUUUUUUAAGUCUGAUGUGAAAGCCCACGGCUCAACCGUGGAGGGUCAUUGGAAACUGGAAAACUUGAGUGCAGAAGAGGAAAGUGGAAUUCCAUGUGUAGCGGUGAAAUGCGCAGAGAUAUGGAGGAACACCAGUGGCGAAGGCGACUUUCUGGUCUGUAACUGACGCUGAUGUGCGAAAGCGUGGGGAUCAAACAGGAUUAGAUACCCUGGUAGUCCACGCCGUAAACGAUGAGUGCUAAGUGUUAGGGGGUUUCCGCCCCUUAGUGCUGCAGCUAACGCAUUAAGCACUCCGCCUGGGGAGUACGACCGCAAGGUUGAAACUCAAAGGAAUUGACGGGGACCCGCACAAGCGGUGGAGCAUGUGGUUUAAUUCGAAGCAACGCGAAGAACCUUACCAAAUCUUGACAUCCUUUGACAACUCUAGAGAUAGAGCCUUCCCCUUCGGGGGACAAAGUGACAGGUGGUGCA